rnacentral:rRNA from 1 species
UACAGAGGUCCCAAGCGUUGUUCGGAUUCAUGGGGCGUAAAGGGUGUGUAGGUGGCGCCGUAAGUCGGGUGUGAAAUUUCGGAGCUUAACUCCGAAACUGCAUUCGAUACUGCGGUGCUUGAGGACUGGAGAGGAGACUGGAAUUCAUGGUGUAGCAGUGAAAUGCGUAGAGAUCAUGAGGAAGACCAGUGGCGAAGGCGGGUCUCUGGACAGUUCCUGACACUGAGACACGAAGGCCAGGGGAGCAAACGGG